UAGUACGGCGAGUGAGCGGGAAGAGCUCAAGCUUAAAAUCUCCGUGCAAGUUUUGCGCGGCGAAUUGUAGUCUAUAGAGGCGUGGUCAGUGAGGGCGCUCGGGGCAAGUUCCUUGGAAGAGGACAGCAUGGAGGGUGAUACUCCCGUUCAUCCCUGGGUGGCUCUUGCGUACGACCCGUUUUCUUUGAGUCGCGUUGUUUGGGAAUGCAGCGCAAAGUAGGUGGUAAAUUCCAUCUAAAGCUAAAUAUUGGUGCGAGACCGAUAGCGAACAAGUACCGUGAGGGAAAGAUGAAAAGAACUUUGAAAAGAGAGUUAAAGAGUACCUGAAACUGCUGAAAGGGAACCGAAUCGUUUCCAGUGUCUAUAAUCCGUGGUAUAUUUCAUUGGUGAGUGUGUGCGUGCGUGUGCUUUGGCAGUGGCUUUUUUGGCUGCGCUGGGCGUGUGUGCUGUGUGUGCUUGCUGGUGCCCUGUGCUGCGGUGGGACGUCAAGGUCAGUUCGUAUGCUGCGGGAAAUGGCUGCCGAGGAGGUAGGGCUUACGCUCCGCGUUUGUCUGUUAUAUCUUGGUGGACGAGUCGUCGCGGUUGGGACUGAGGUGCCUACAACGUGCUUUUGAGUGAGUGUGGGUCUCCGUGUGCGCCGUGUGCGGAUAGCUUGCUAUGCGUGUGUGGUUGUGUGUGGAUUGAUGCGCGCUGUAACUUGUCGCCGUUC
rnacentral:rRNA from 1 species